GAGUUUUAGGAUUUAUUUGUUGACAUCUUUUCCCCCCAGGAAAUUGGACGGUGAAUGGGGAGAAGAAAUAGAAUACUUCCCAAGGGUGAGAAUCAAUCAACCAACAUUUAGCAAUACUUGUUCAGGAUACAAAAACUUCAUUGGAAACGGGAGGACAACAAAUACAUAGAUUCAACCCACCAGAAAAUACAGAAUUGAUAGACAGGCACAUGAGAAGGCAUAAUCCUAAUAGAGCAGUUGGAGUCCGUUAGGAAAGAGGUGUACAGGGUCAUGAGGUUGAUAGCAAGGACAUCCAAGUAGGAGGACACAGAGCAAAAAGAUGACUGGUGACAGAGGCAUAAGGGGGUCACCCCCGGGGUCCAUGACACGAAUAAAGAUCCAGUCAAAGAGGCAAGCAGGACACAUCAGUCAGUAAAGAAGCCAGAGAGAGCAGAAUUGUGAAAAAUCUGAAAAGAGAGUAUCCUGAAAGAGAAGAAAAGGCAGUCACUCCCAAAAAUGCUGCCAGAGAGAUGCAGAAGGAUCAGAAUCAGACAGUGGUCCUUCUGUUUUUGUACUAUAGAGGUUAUCAAUCACUUUUCAUUUCAAUGAGUAAAACUCCUCUGAAUGAGGAAGAGAGAAGCCAGAGUGCAGAGAGCUUAAGAGAAUGAAUAUCCAAAAGCAUUCAUUUUCCACUGUGGGUCAAAGGCUGGACUAAGCCUGGGGGUGGGAUGGAUAGGCCCAAGCCAGGCCCUGGCCUGGGGGGGAACCUCCCAGUCUGCAUGCA